GACGAUCAAGGUAAUGAAGUUGGACAAAGAUGGAUGGAGCACUCAGAAGUAGUAUAUAAAACACACGAGAAAGUACCCAGUACACAAUUACAUGAACAUAGAAACCACCAACAACAAAGACACUAAUGAGCAACUCAAUAUCACAACUCGAUCCGAUCCAACCAACUCAAACUCAAUCUCUUCCCAAUUUAAGAGGUCUGUUGACCGGUGACAUGCUGCUGCCCGAAAUCCGACGCCCUAUCCUUCAUCUCCCUCGCUUUCCCGGUGAUCCUCAUCCUCGCCUGGUCCAGCGAAUCCGCUCCCACCGGGUGCCUCCCGGUCACAUACCUUUCAAAAAACAUACAUGCAAAAAUUAAAACCACCGUCUCACAUCAUUUCUAACCUCAACAAGGGUAAAAUACUGAACAAAUCCUAUAAAUUUGGGUCGAAUUAUGUAAUAGUCCCAAGACAUCAAUUGAAACAUAUCGUUCCCCAAACUGACGUUUUGAGACCACUCUAAUCCAUCAUAGUUUUAUGUUAUGUCUCUGAACCGGUACUUUAACUUUUGAAAAUUUCCUUGACCAAUACAUAACAUUUGAAAGUACUCGGACCGGUAGCCUAAGGGAAAGGUAUGUUCAGCCUUUCCCUCAACCGUGUCCCAACCAGCUUCGAGAUUUAACACUCCGAUUCUAUGUAAUUUUCUUUAGAGCAUACUUUCUUUGUGCCGAUGCAUUUCAAAUGUGUUAACAAAACGUUUACCUAUAGAUCCACGACAAGAUACUAUACAAUAACAAAUCAUUUACCUAUAGAUCCAUGACAAGACUGUGAUGGCGGCCACUCCGAAGCCCCCGGAUGCCAAAAACCCGGUGAUCAACAACCCAACGGUGAUCAGAGCCGGGACGAGAACCGGGCUAAAGAUGACCAGGAGAGGAGUGGCCAUGGUUAGUGCAA
rnacentral:lncRNA from 1 species